AGCGCUCUCAGGAUGUCUCCACCAUGGCCUGGGCUCUGCUCCUCCUCACCCUCCUCACUCAGGGCACAGGGUCCUGGGCCCAGUCUGCCCUGACUCAGCCUCGCUCAGUGUCUGGGUCUCCUGGACAGUCGGUCACCAUCUCCUGCACUGGAACCAGCAGUGACGUUGGUGGUUAUAACUAUGUCUCCUGGUACCAGCAGCACCCAGGCACAGCCCCCAAACUCAUGAUUUAUGAUGUCAGUAAGCGGCCCUCAGGGGUCUCUGAUCGUUUCUCUGGCUCCAAGUCUGGCAACACGGCCUCCCUGACCAUCUCUGGGCUCCAGGCUGAGGACGAGGCUGAUUAUUACUGCUGCUCAUAUGCAAGCGACGACACUUUCCACAGUGGUCCAAGUUCCUGGGGAACUGAGACAAAAACCUGCCCUGGGCUCAGGCUCUCUUUUUGCUCUGAAGAUGCUUCCUCACCAGGUGCAUGA